rnacentral:rRNA from 1 species
AUUGAACGCUGGCGGCAGGCUUAACACAUGCAAGUCGAGCGAGCGGCGGACGGGUGAGUAAUGUCUGGGAAUCUGCCUGAUGGAGGGGGAUAACUACUGGAAACGGUAGCUAAUACCGCAUACCAUCAGAUGCACCCAGAUGGGAUUAGCUAGUAGGUGGGGUAAUGGCUCACCUAGGCGUCGAUCCCUAGCUGGUCUGAGAGGAUGACCAGCCACACUGUGACGGAGACACUGUCCAGACUCCUACGGGAGGCAGCAGUGGGGAAUAUUGCAAAAUGGGCGCAAGCCUGAUGCAGCCAUGCGGCGUGUGUGAAGAAGGCCUUCGGUUUGUAAAGUACUUUCAGCGAGGAGGCGUUACUCGCAGGAGAAGCACCGGCUAACUCCGUGCCAGCCGCCGCGGUAAUUC